AACUCCUGCCCUUUAGCAUGUCCACAAACAACUGUCUCAAAUUCAAUUGAAAGAUCAGUCCGGAGAAAUUCUGACAACAUGCAUGCAAGACUAUUGGUUUUAUCUGAUGUGGAAAAGGAACACAUGUUUCCAACAUGUGCCGGUGAAAGAAGCAAAAAGAAAAUGAAAUCUUCAAGUAUAAUUGAACAAGAAAUGGAACAGCAGUUACAAAACCUGAAACUUCAGACAAGAUGUUGAAACUAGAAUUAUCGAGACCAUUAAAGAAUAUAUAAAAGCUUCAUGAUCGUGAUGAUAUGCAUCAUGUCUUGAAAUCUUCACAGAGCAUAUCAGAAGAUAUAUGAAUGAUUAAACACUCAUUUGUUCCUUUUUUAGUGUUUCACUUCAGUAAAUUUGGUUGUCACAAUGUUCAAAAUGUGUUCAUAUUUGUAAAGUAUGCUAAGCUAGACCAAGCAUGUUGCCACCAGAAGCAGAACUCCGUAUUUCUUCUAGAGAAUCUCCUAAUUAUUCCAGAGCAACUAGAAAGAGA